rnacentral:rRNA from 1 species
AUUGAACGCUGGCGGCAGGCCUAACACAUGCAAGUCGAGCGGAUGAAGGGAGCUUGCUCCUGGAUUCAGCGGCGGACGGGUGAGUAAUGCCUAGGAAUCUGCCUGGUAGUGGGGGAUAACGUCCGGAAACGGGCGCUAAUACCGCAUACGUCCUGAGGGAGAAAGUGGGGGAUCUUCGGACCUCACGCUAUCAGAUGAGCCUAGGUCGGAUUAGCUAGUUGGUGGGGUAAAGGCCUACCAAGGCGACGAUCCGUAACUGGUCUGAGAGGAUGAUCAGUCACACUGGAACUGAAACACGGUCCAGACUCCUACGGGAGGCAGCAGUGGGUAUUAUUGGACAAUGGGCGAAAGCAUGAUCCAGCCAUGCCGCGUGUGUGAAGAAGGUCUUCGGAUUGUAAAGCACUUUAAGUUGGGAGAAAGGUCAGUAAGUUAAUACCUUGCUGUUUUGACGUUACCAACAGAAUAAGCACCGGCUAACUUCGUG